AUACUGCCGAAGAGUCCCAAACUAGGACGAAACAGCUAUCCAGUAU
rfam:Trichobilharzia regenti genome assembly, scaffold: TRE_scaffold0006048